rnacentral:rRNA from 1 species
GACGAACGCUGGAGGCGUGCCUAACACAUGCAAGUCGAGCGGAGCGGCGGACGGGUGAGUAAUGCCUAGGAAUCUGCCUGGUAGAGGGGGAUAACGUCCGGAAACGGGCGCUAAUAACGCAUACUAACAGAUGAGCCUAGGUCGGAUUAGCUAGUUGGUGGGGGAAAGGCCUACCACGGCGACGAUCCGUAACUGGUCUGAGAGGAUGAUCAGUCACACUGGAACUGAGACACGGUCCAGACUCCGACGGGAGGCAGCAGUGGGGAAUAUUGGACAAUGGGCGAAAGCCUGAUCCAGCCAUGCCGCGUGUGUGAAGAAGGUCUUCGGAUUGUAAAGCACUUUAAGUUGGUAGGCGUUACCAACAGAAUAAGCACCGGCUAACUUCGUGCCAGCAGCCGCGGUAAUUC